rnacentral:rRNA from 1 species
AGAGUUUGAUCCUGGCUCAGGAUGAACGCUGGCGGCGUGCCUAAUACAUGCAAGUCGAGCGAACGGACGAGAAGCUUGCUUUUCUGAUGUUAGCGGCGGACGGGUGAGUAACACGUGGAUAACCUACCUAUAAGACUGGGAUAACUUCGGGAAACCGGAGCUAAUACCGGAUAAUAUUUUGAACCGCAUGGUUCAAAAGUGAAAGACGGUCUUGCUGUCACUUAUAGAUGGAUCCGCGCUGCAUUAGCUAGUUGGUAAGGUAACGGCUUACCAAGGCAACGAUGCAUAGCCGACCUGAGAGGGUGAUCGGCCACACUGGAACUGAGACACGGUCCAGACUCCUACGGGAGGCAGCAGUAGGGAAUCUUCCGCAAUGGGCGAAAGCCUGACGGAGCAACGCCGCGUGAGUGAUGAAGGUCUUCGGAUCGUAAAACUCUGUUAUUAGGGAAGAACAUAUGUGUAAGUAACUGUGCACAUCUUGACGGUACCUAAUCAGAAAGCCACGGCUAACUACGUGCCAGCAGCCGCGGUAAUACGUAGGUGGCAAGCGUUAUCCGGAAUUAUUGGGCGUAAAGCGCGCGUAGGCGGUUUUUUAAGUCUGAUGUGAAAGCCCACGGCUCAACCGUGGAGGGUCAUUGGAAACUGGAAAACUUGAGUGCAGAAGAGGAAAGUGGAAUUCCAUGUGUAGCGGUGAAAUGCGCAGAGAUAUGGAGGAACACCAGUGGCGAAGGCGACUUUCUGGUCUGUAACUGACGCUGAUGUGCGAAAGCGUGGGGAUCAAACAGGAUUAGAUACCCUGGUAGUCCACGCCGUAAACGAUGAGUGCUAAGUGUUAGGGGGUUCCGCCCCUUAGUGCUGCAGCUAACGCAUUAAGCACUCCGCCUGGGGAGUACGACCGCAAGGUUGAAACUCAAAGGAAUUGACGGGGACCCGCA